CUAGCCUUAAGUGUAAGAGUCUUGGAGGUAGAGCACUGAUUGGACUAGGGGUCCUCAUCGGAUUACCGAAUUCAGUCAAACUCCGAAUGCCAAUGACUUAUCCUUAGGAGUCAGACUGCGAGUGAUAAGAUCCGUAGUCAAAAGGGAAACAGCCCAGACCGCCAGCUAAGGUCCCAAAGUGUGUAUUAAGUGGAAAAGGAUGUGGAGUUGCUUAGACAACUAGGAUGUUGGCUUAGAAGCAGCCACCAUUUAAAGAGUGCGUAAUAGCUCACUAGUCGAGUGACUCUGCGCCGAAAAUGUACCGGGGCUAAAUACACCACCGAAGCUGCGGAUUGAUACCGAAUGGUAUCAGUGGUAGGGGAGCGUUCUAAGGACAGUGAAGUCAGACCGUAAGGACUGGUGGAGUGCUUAGAAGUGAGAAUGCCGGUAUGAGUAGCGAAAGACGGGUGAGAAUCCCGUCCACCGAAUGCCUAAGGUUUCCUGAGGAAGGCUCGUCCGCUCAGGGUUAGUCAGGACCUAAGCCGAGGCCGACAGGCGUAGGCGAUGGACAACAGGUUGAUAUUCCUGUACCACCUCUUUAUCGUUUGAGCAAUGGAGGGACGCAGAAGGAUAGAAGAAGCGUGCGAUUGGUUGUGCACGUCCAAGCAGUUAGGCUGAUAAGUAGGCAAAUCCGCUUAUCGUGAAGGCUGAGCUGUGAUGGGGAAGCUCCUUAUGGAGCGAAGUCUUUGAUUCCCCGCUGCCAAGAAAAGCUUCUAGCGAGAUAAAAGGUGCCUGUACCGCAAACCGACACAGGUAGGCGAGGAGAGAAUCCUAAGGUGUGCGAGAGAACUCUGGUUAAGGAACUCGGCAAAAUGACCCCGUAACUUCGGGAGAAGGGGUGCUUUCUUAACGGAAAGCCGCAGUGAAUAGGCCCAAGCGACUGUUUAGCAAAAACACAGCUCUCUGCGAAGCCGUAAGGCGAAGUAUAGGGGGUGACACCUGCCCGGUGCUGGAAGGUUAAGGAGAGGGGUUAGCGUAAGCGAAGCUCUGAACUGAAGCCCCAGUAAACGGCGGCCGUAACUAUAACGGUCCUAAGGUAGCGAAAUUCCUUGUCGGGUAAGUUCCGACCCGCACGAAAGGUGUAACGAUUUGGGCACUGUCUCAACCAGAGACUCGGUGAAAUUAUAGUACCUGUGAAGAUGCAGGUUACCCGCGACAGGACGGAAAGACCCCGUGGAGCUUUACUGUAGCCUGAUAUUGAAUUUUGGUACAGUUUGUACAGGAUAGGCGGGAGCCAUUGAAACCGGAGCGCUAGCUUCGGUGGAGGCGCUGGUGGGAUACCGCCCUGACUGUAUUGAAAUUCUAACCUACGGGUCUUAUCGACCCGGGAGACAGUGUCAGGUGGGCAGUUUGACUGGGGCGGUCGCCUCCUAAAGUGUAACGGAGGCGCCCAAAGGUUCCCUCAGAAUGGUUGGAAAUCAUUCGUAGAGUGCAAAGGCAUAAGGGAGCUUGACUGCGAGACCUACAAGUCGAGCAGGGACGAAAGUCGGGCUUAGUGAUCCGGUGGUUCCGCAUGGAAGGGCCAUCGCUCAACGGAUAAAAGCUACCCCGGGGAUAACAGGCUUAUCUCCCCCAAGAGUCCACAUCGACGGGGAGGUUUGGCACCUCGAUGUCGGCUCAUCGCAUCCUGGGGCUGUAGUCGGUCCCAAGGGUUGGGCUGUUCGCCCAUUAAAGCGGUACGCGAGCUGGGUUCAGAACGUCGUGAGACAGUUCGGUCCCUAUCCGUCGUGGGCGUAGGAAAUUUGAGAGGAGCUGUCCUUAGUACGAGAGGACCGGGAUGGACGCACCGCUGGUGUACCAGUUGUUCUGCCAAGGGCAUAGCUGGGUAGCUAUGUGCGGAAGGGAUAAGUGCUGAAAGCAUCUAAGCAUGAAGCCCCCCUCAAGAUGAGAUUUCCCAUAGCGUAAGCUAGUAAGAUCCCUGAAAGAUGAUCAGGUUGAUAGGUUCGAGGUGGAAGCAUGGUGACAUGUGGAGCUGACGAAUACUAAUAGAUCGAGGACUUAACCAU
rnacentral:rRNA from 1 species